rnacentral:snRNA from 1 species
UUACUUACCUGGACGGGGUCUAUGGCUGAUCAAUAAGAGUCAUGGCCUAGGCUAGUGACCCGCAUUGCACUUUGUGGAUGCGUUGGCCUACCAUCUCCCUUUGAAGGAGAGUGGACGUCAUAAUUUGUGGUAGAGGGGGUACGCGUUCGCGCGGCCCCUA